GAGAGAGAGAGAAAGUGAGCUAGAGAGAGCGAGGAGAGAUAGAGAGAAGGGGGAAGACUAGAGAGAGAGAUCAAGAGACAGAAAGAGGGUGGACAGAGAGAGAGGGGGAUCAAGACAGGAAAAACACAGUGCAGCAGUGCUUCCCGCAGCUGUGCUAAGUGCUAGAGUGCGGGGGUGGAGAAAAGAACAGGAAGAGAAAGAAAGAGAGAGGGAGAGAGAGAAAGAGAGAGGGAAAAGGGGAGAGCUGUGGAGGAAGGGGGGGGGGUAUAGCAACUAUUUAUAAACCUGACAGGGAACACUAAGGUAGGGUUAUGGAAUAGAAGACAGCGAGAGACAGAGAGAGAGAGAACAUGGACAUACAGUAGAAGAGAUGGAGGAUGUCAAGAUCAAAUGAUGCAAAGAGAAUGGUGGGACUAAAAAUGAUGUGGCAUCAGAACGAAGAGACGGGAGGGGUGUGUGUGAGAGAGAGAUAGAGAGUGAGACAGAGACAAGGAGAGGGGGUAGGUCCAGAGAGAGAGAAAGAGAGAGCGAGAGGGGGGGAAGAAGGGGUAGGUCCAGAGAGAGAAAGAAAGAGAGGAGAGGUGUGAGAAGGGGGUAGGUCCAGAGAGAGAGAGAGAGGGGUGGGGGCAUAGAUGGAUGAUGAGAAAGGGACAUGGUUGAGCUCCACAGAGAGAGAGAGUGAAAGAGAGAGAAGUACUGCUACCUUGAAUGACACUGCGACAGUAAGACAACACGUGAGGGAGAGAAGCAACAUCUCAUGAUUCCAUGAAUCUACUAUCAGCACCAAUGCAGCUGUGGAAUUCUCCUCCCAGCUCACUGCAGUGGUUAUGCUGGGAGUGUGUGUGAGAGAGAAAGAAAGGGGAAAGAGAUGUGUGUGGGUGGGGGGGGGGGGGGGNNNNNNNNNNGUGGUUACAUUGUGGUCCCUCUCUAGGGUCAUGGUUCCAUUGCGGUCCCGCUCUAGUCUCAUGGUUCCAUUGCGGUCCCUCUGUAGUCUCAUGGUUCCAUUGCGGUCCCGCUCUAGUCUCAUGGUUCCAUUGCGGUCCCUCUGUAGUCUCAUGGUUCCAUUGCGGUCUCCUUGGGGUCUCCCUCUUGGUUUAACUUUGGUCGGACGCCACAGGGUGGUGUUUUUUUAUCUCGACCUCCUUUGGAUGCUGCUCUAUUAAAUAGGCCUCCUAAUGAUAAGAGAGAUGGGGAAGAGAGAGAGAGAGAGAGAGAACAUAGAGAGAAAAUGAAAAGAGAGAGAGAGAGACGCUUCAUUAGUGUCCCAGUCAGUCUCUACUGUCCCCUGGGGGCCACCGCUGUUCAGCAGCUACAGCCACACACACACAUGCACGUACACACGCACACACACACACACACACACACACACAACGAGAGAGGGGAGCUCCACAGAGAACUUGGCAUAA
rnacentral:lncRNA from 13 species